GUGGGAGCGGGCUUGCUCGCGAAGGCGGCGCGUCAGCCAACAUUAAUUCUGGAUGGUAGACCGCAUUCGCGAGCAAGCCCGCUCCCAC
rnacentral:antisense_RNA from 1 species